GACGAACGCUGGCGGCGUGCCUAAUACAUGCAAGUAGGACGCAGUUGCGAACGGCUGAGUAACGCGUAGGUAAUUGCCUAUUAGAGGGGUAUAACUAGUGGAAACGAUAGCGAAUACCGCAUACUAGUAGAUGGACCUUCGUUGUAUUAGCUAGUAGGUAGGGUAAUGGCCUACCGAGGCGACGAUACAUAGCCGACCUGAGAGGGUGAUCGGCCACACUGGGACUGAGACACGGCCCAGACUCCUACGGGAGGCAGCAGUAGGGAAUCUUCGGCAAUGGGGGGAACCCUGACCGAGCAACGCCGCGUGAGUGAAGAAGGUUUUCGGAUCGUAAAGCUCUGUUGUUAAGGAAGCGGUACUUAACCAGAAAGGGACGGCUAACUACGUGCCAGCAGCCGCGGUAAUUC
rnacentral:rRNA from 1 species